rnacentral:rRNA from 1 species
CUUGGUGUGAAUUGCAGAAUCCCGUGAACCAUCGAGUUUUUGAACGCAAGUUGCGCCCAAAGCCAUUAGGCUAAGGGCAAGUCUGCCUGGGCGUCACGC